AUUAAAUUUUAUUUAUUAAUUUUUUAUUUUAUUAGUUUAUUUAUAUUAAAAAUAAUUAUAUAAUUUUAUGUUUUAGUAGUUUAUAGUGAAAAAAUAAUUUUAAUAAUAGUUUAGUAGUAUUGUGAAAGAAUAUUGAAAUAUUUUGAAAAAUUUUUAUGAUAAAAGAAAAUUUAAUUUAUUGUACCUUGGGUGUCAGGGUUUAUUAAAUAAAAAAUAGUUAUUUAUUUUUCUCGAUUUUAAAAGAGUUAAUAAGUAAUAAAAGUUAAUGUGAUAAAAUUAUUUUAAAUUAUUUAUUAGAAAUGAAAUGUUAUUCGUUUUUAAAGGUAUCUAGUUCUUUAAGAAAUAGAUUUAAUCUAAAAAUUUUAAAUUUAUUUAAUUAAUUUUAUAAUUAAUUGAUUUUAAAAUUUUAAUAUUUUAUGGGAUAAGCUAUAAAAUAAAUUUUUAAAAAUUUUUAUUAUUAGUGAAAAAUAUAUGAUUAGAAUUGUCAAUUAUUAAAAGUUUGUUAUAAAUUAUUUUGAUGUUUAUAAUAUUUAUUAUAUUUUAAAUAUUUAUUAAAGUGUUUAUUUUAGUUUUAAAAAUAAAAUAAUAAUGAUAAAAUUAGUAUAUUUAUGUUGUAUAAAUAAAAUUAAAAGAUAAGUUUAAAUAAAGAAUUCGGCAAAUAUAAUGUUCGCCUGUUUAACAAAAACAUGUCUUUUUGAAAUUUAUUAUAAAGUCUAAUCUGCCCAAUGAGGUUUUUAAUGGCCGCAGUAUUUUAACUGUGCAAAGGUAGCAUAAUCAUUAGUUUUUUAAUUGAAAGCUGGUAUGAAUGAUUGGACGAGAUAUUAACUGUUUCAUUUAAAUUUAUAUAGAAUUUUAUUUUUUAGUUAAAAAGCUAAAAUUUAUUUAAAAGACGAGAAGACCCUAUAAAUCUUUAUAUAUAUUAUUAAUUUAAUUAUUAAGAUUUUUUUUAUUAUUUUUAUUGUGUAUAUUUUAUUGGGGUGAUAUUAAAAUUUAUUAAACUUUUAAUUUUUAAAAUCAUUAAUUUAUGAUUAAUUGAUCCAGUUUUAUUGAUUAUAAAUUUAAGUUACUUUAGGGAUAACAGCGUAAUUUUUUUGGAGAGUUCAUAUCGAUAAAAAAGAUUGCGACCUCGAUGUUGGAUUAAGAGUUAUUUUAGGUGUAGCAGCUUAAAAAUAAAGUCUGUUCGACUUUUAAAUUCUUACAUGAUCUGAGUUCAAACCGGUGUAAGCCAGGUUGGUUUCUAUCUUUAAUUAAAUUGAAUAUUUUAGUACGAAAGGACCAAAUAUUUAAAUAAUUUUAUUUUAUUAUAGAAUAUUAUUAAAUUAUU
rnacentral:rRNA from 1 species